rnacentral:rRNA from 1 species
AGCGAACGCUGGCGGCAGGCUUAACACAUGCAAGUCGAGCGCCCCGCAAGGGGCGCGGCCGGCGGGAGAGCAACACGUGGGAACAUACCUUUUGGUUCGGAACAACUGAGGGAAACUUCAGCUAAUACCGGUUAAGCCAUUACGGGGAAAGAUUUAUCGCCGAAGGAUUGGCCCGCGUCUGAUUAGCUAGUUGGUGAGGUAACGGCUCACCAAGGCGACGAUCAGUAGCUGGUCUGAGAGGAUGAUCAGCCUCACUGGGACUGAGACACGGCCCAGACUCCUACGGGAGGCAGCAGUGGGGAAUAUUGGAAAAUGGGGGCAACCCUGAUCCAGCCAGGCCGCUUGAGCGAUGAAGGCAUUAGGGUUGUAGAGCUCUUUUGCCCGGGAAGAUAAUGACGGUACCUGGAGAAUAAGCCCCGGCUAACUUCGUG